UACGAAGGGGGCUAGCGUUGCUCGGAAUCACUGGGCGUAAAGCGCACGUAGGCGGAUCUUUAAGUCAGGGGUGAAAUCCUGGAGCUCAACUCCAGAACUGCCUUUGAUACUGGGGAUCUCGAGUCCGGAAGAGGUGAGUGGAACUGCGAGUGUAGAGGUGAAAUUCGUAGAUAUUCGCAAGAACACCAGUGGCGAAGGCGGCUCACUGGCCCGUAACUGACGCUGAGGCACGAAAGCGUGGGGAGCAAACAGG
rnacentral:rRNA from 1 species